ensembl:lncRNA
GCGGCUAACAGGAAGUUGGCGUCUCACAGGCAAGCAAACACUUUGCUCGGCUAAAUGCUACGGUAAGGGACAUUUUACUACCGUCUGUGGCCAAAAUGAAUCCCUGUUGUGGAUGUUCUUUGGUUCGACAAAGGUUUUACCGGAGAGGAGUGAGCCGUAACUUGACGUCAUAGCUGUUGAAUCUGAAGACUUUUUUUCUGUCGAGACGCUAUUUUACUUUAGCCAAGAGAGAAACUGUGGAUCAAAGACGUUAAACAGCCGUGGCCGCUGAGCCCGACUACGCUAAUGAGGUGGAACAAGGUCGUUCUGGUCCUUUGACUUGUCAGGAAAACCCACACAGCGACUGAGGCCUCAUCAGGAGUCCGUGUGAGCCUCCAAUCCCCCCCCAGGUUCCCUCACCACGACAACCAAGGACCCCUCAAAAACCUGAGGACCACAAGCAGCGGCUGGUCUGACGAGCUGAUCAAUGAGGAUGAGGGGAUGCUGUCUGCUCCGAGAACCGACGGGGGGGGGGAACGAAAUCACACACUCCAGGCUCGAGAGCGGCAAAUUAAAACGUUAAAGAGGAUUUCGGUCGAAUCUCCCGCCCUAUUUCGAUAUCUUGUGAGAUAUUUUGUUCAUCAAUGAAACUUUCAGGUCUCCUUUCAUGGCUGUGGAGAUAGCGUGUUGGUAUUUAGUCUGCUGGGGAUUAUCGGCCCCCAGGUUUCUGGUAGACUGAGUGAUGAAGAUGCAUUGUGGGCAAACCAAGGCCCUCAAACUUAACAAGACGUCUCGCUCAGUGACGUGAAGGUUUGAUGGACCGAGGCCUCUCGGAGUUAAUGCCUCGAUGCUUCUGCUGUCUCGUAAAAUAUAUUUCAUUUCAUUGUGUACUUCCAUGAUUAAGUCAAUAAAUGUGG